GUCUUCGUAGUGUAGUGGUCAGCACGCUCGACGCGUAACCGAGAGAUCCGGGGUUCGAUUCCCGGCGAAGGCU
rnacentral:tRNA from 1 species